UACGGGGGGGGCAAGCGUUGUUCGGAAUUACUGGGCGUAAAGGGCUGGUAGGCGGCCAACUAAGUCGGAUGUGAAAUCCCCAGGCUUAACCUGGGAACUGCAUCCGAUACUGGUCGGCUUGAAUCCGGGAGAGGGAUGCAGAAUUCCAGGUGUAGCGGUGAAAUGCGUAGAUAUCUGGAGGAAUACCAGUGGCGAAGGCGACUCGCUGGACUGAUACUGACGCUGAGGUGCGAAAGCGUGGGGAGCAAACAGG
rnacentral:rRNA from 1 species